UACUAACAGAUGGUUCCCUGCUCAGACCGCACAGAAACUGUAUCUGACCUCCCUAAGAGGUACAGACGCUGCAUCUUCCUGACAAAGGAAUAGGAGAUCCAGGACAUGCAGAGAGAAGGGGUCGUGGCAGUGGAUCCAGCCUCAGAACUCGGGGAAAGUACAGCGUCCCUCCUCGGGCUGCCCAUCAGCACCUACAGGAUUUCUGCCGCCUCCGUGUUGCCCUGAGGUGGAAGUUGAAUUACAUCAUGCGAAGCCACAUCUCUGCCUCGGAUCUCUUUUCCUUCUUUACCUGCUCUGCUUGGUGACGCCUAUCGCAGACUUUGAAGGCCUCCUGCACCUGCGCCCACAGUGGCGUUUGGGGUCCUGCCUCAGGCAUCUGGGACUUUUCCCUUGUGCGUGAAGCACUGUCCAUUACAUACUGUUGUGUCCAUCAGGGCUGUCCUCUGCCAGUGCUGGGCCAGCGCUAGCGUACUUUCAGAAGACCUCUGCGGGAUUUGAAAUACUGCACUUUCUCCUCCUUUGUGCAUUAUCUCUGCGCCCUUCAUAGCUGACAGAUUUAACCUGACACCUCCUCAUUCCUUCUAAAAUAAAAGGUACAAAAUGAUCCCUUCUGGCCUCAGGGAUAGAAUUUUCAGGGUCCCACUUGGGGUCCAGAGGAGGGACUGGCUCUCCCUGGCCUCCAGGCAUCACGGUCGGGAAUGUUAGCUGCCAGCCUAUCUGUGUCCCCUGCCGGCUUUUUAAGAACAGGCAGGGCUUUCUCAUCACGAGUGCUAUGGUGGGUCAGC
rnacentral:lncRNA from 1 species